CACGUAGGGCGCAAGCGUUGUCCGGAAUUAUUGGGCGUAAAGAGCUCGUAGGCGGUCUGUUACGUCUGCUGUGAAAACCCGGGGCUUAACCCUGGGCUUGCAGUGGAUACGGGCAGACUAGAGGCAGGUAGGGGAGAAUGGAAUUCCCGGUGUAGCGGUGAAAUGCGCAGAUAUCAGGAGGAACACCAGCGGCGAAGGCGGUGCUCUGGGCCGGAACUGACGCUGAGGAGCGAAAGCGUGGGGAGCGAACAGG
rnacentral:rRNA from 1 species